rnacentral:rRNA from 1 species
GACGAACGCUGGCGGCGUGCCUAAUACAUGCAAGUCGAGCGGACCGGAUUGGGGCUUGCCUUGAUUCGGUCAGCGGCGGACGGGUGAGUAACACGUGGGCAACCUGCCCGCAAGACCGGGAUAACUCCGGGAAACCGGAGCUAAUACCGGAUAACACCGAAGACCGCAUGGUCUUCGGUUGAAAGGCGGCCUUUGGGCUGUCACUUGCGGAUGGGCCCGCGGCGCAUUAGCUAGUUGGUGAGGUAACGGCUCACCAAGGCGACGAUGCGUAGCCGGCCUGGGAGGGUGACCGGCCACACUGGGACUGAGACACGGCCCAGACUCCUACGGGAGGCAGCAGUAGGGAAUCUUCCGCAAUGGGCGAAAGCCUGACGGAGCGACGCCGCGUGAGCGAAGAAGGCCUUCGGGUCGUAAAGCUCUGUUGUGAGGGACGAAGGAGCGCCGUUCGAAGAGGGCGGCGCGGUGACGGUACCUCACGAGAAAGCCCCGGCUAACUACGUG